GUUAUCAAAAUGAGCUUCAAUGUCCGGAUUUGAGUUAAGGAUCAUAAAUUAACACAGAGAAAUACGACUUUAGCAAUAAGUGCCUGCUUGAAGCCCAAGUUGCCUGAAAACACGGAAUUUCAGUCUUUCAGCUCCUCUGCUAAUCUAGGGACUAAGAACAGGAUCUCACUGGAGCUCAAAGAUGUGGGGCACUGGAAAUACUCCUGGGUCUGUCUGCUCAUGGCUGAUUGCCUGAUUCCCAGUUUUAUUAUACAGCUUAAAUACAGACCAGAAGAGGAGUUUGGGGCUUGACACCUGACAUCUUAACACCAGUUCCUGUUUCUUGAGGAAGGAAGAGGUAAAAUAAAUCAGCGUUUACUGUGUCCUUCUCCAUCCCCGGAAGUCCUGAUGAAGACCCUCUCAGAGAUGCAGCACACACAGAAUCCCAGCUGGAUUACAGACUUGAACCUGAAGACCUUAUGCAGAAUGACAAUUUAUGAACCACUAAGCUCAGUACUAAAGCAGCUUAAAUACAGACCAGAAGAGGAGUUUGGGGCUUGACACCUGACAUCUUAACACCAGUUCCUGUUUCUUGAGGAAGGAAGAGGUAAAAUAAAUCAGCGUUUACUGUGUCCUUCUCCAUCCCAGGAAGUCCUCAUGAAGACCCUCUCAGGUAAGGACUGAGAGGGAGUGGCUUGGUUUACUAUUUGACUUUGUCC